rnacentral:rRNA from 1 species
AGUGAACGCUGGCGGUAGGCCUAACACAUGCAAGUCGAACGGCAGCACAGUAAGAGCUUGCUCUUACGGGUGGCGGGUGGCGGACGGGUGAGGAAUACAUCGGAAUCUACUUUUUCGUGGGGGAUAACGUAGGGAAACUUACGCUAAUACCGCAUACGACCUACGGGUGAAAGCAGGGGAUCUUCGGACCUUGCGCGAUUGAAUGAGCCGAUGUCGGAUUAGCUAGUUGGCGGGGUAAAGGCCCACCAAGGCGACGAUCCGUAGCUGGUCUGAGAGGAUGAUCAGCCACACUGGAACUGAGACACGGUCCAGACUCCUACGGGAGGGAGCAGUGGGGAAUAUUGGACAAUGGGCGCAAGCCUGAUCCAGCCAUACCGCGUGGGUGAAGAAGGCCUUCGGGUUGUAAAGCCCUUUUGUUGGGAAAGAAAAGCAGCAGGUUAAUACCCCGCUGUUCUGACGGUACCCAAAGAAUAAGCACCGGCUAACUUCGUG